UCUGGCACUUUCAGUGUCCGAGAAGAAAUUUGAAGAAGGUAUCUUUGGGUCUGGCUCUUGUCUAUGUUUCUUGGAACAGAACGUCACAGAGGGUGAGAAUCCCGUGCGAUGAGAUGUCCCAGACCUAUGUAAAGUUCCUUCGAAGAGUCGAGUUGUUUGGGAAUGCAGCUCUAAGUGGGUGGUAAAUUCCAUCUAAAGCUAAAUAUUGGCGAGAGACCGAUAGCGAACAAGUACAGUGAUGGAAAGAUGAAAAGAACUUUGAAAAGAGAGUGAAAAAGUACGUGAAAUUGUUGAAAGGGAAGGGCUUGAGAUCAGACUUGGUAUUUUGUAUGUUACUCUCUCGGGGGUGGCCUCUACAGUUUACCGGGCCAGCAUCAGUUUGAGCGGUAGGAUAAGUGCAAAGAAAUGUGGCACUGCUUCGGUAGUGUGUUAUAGUCUUUGUCGAUACUGCCAGCUUAGACUGAGGACUGCGGCUUCGGCCUAGGAUGUUGGCAUAAUGAUCUUAAGUCGCCCGUCUUGAAACACGGACCA
rnacentral:rRNA from 1 species